rnacentral:lncRNA from 1 species
GCAAACUUGUGAAAUAGCAGCACCACCGCUCUUGAUCUUCUCUCCAACUUCUUUGGGAGAGCCAAGGCCCAUGAGGGCCACGUGCAUCCCGUAAUCGCUUCUCUUCAUUCUUAGUGUUUAAAAAUCAUGUUGCCAUUUCCCUCAGUCGUCUCCGUGCACCCUUAUCUCUGUCACAAAGCGUGGAGAAGGCCAAAGGGCCCCCUUGUGCACCGAGUGCAGGCACAGGCCCUGGAGUGAUGGACAGAGCCCUCCAGUGAUUACCAGGGGGAAUCCAGUGACCUUUCCGGAACCAGCUCCGGCCAGGAGCUAGUGACCUCCCCAUCCUUGUCAAGCUGCGAACCUAGAGCCAAUGGAGUGUCUCCUCCCACACUCACCGCCCAGCUCACUGCCCAUACCUUUGAGAGUUCUGGUUGAUCUCAAGGUGUUCCCUAUUGGAACACCAUAGGUUCCCUGGAUGGAUCCUCGGCCAGCAACAAUCCGCCCGAGAGUCUGACCCUCUAUCUCCCUGGUGUAAAGGGACUGUCUUUUUUUAUUGGAUGCCACUGAUAAGGACUGGAGGCAGGGAGAAGACAAAGAAAAGAUCAAGAAUUGGGAGACAAUUUCAUUUAGUUUUCUUUUUUCUUUCUAAGCUCAUCUGAUUUUAAAACUAAAAACAGGGAACAAAUGAAUUUGGUAAAUAAAAUUUGUUUCACCUCC